rnacentral:piRNA from 1 species
GACAUGAGCUUUAUCUCAAUGGAGGUGGAU